rnacentral:rRNA from 1 species
GGUUAAGCGACUAAGCGUACACGGUGGAUGCCCUGGCAGUCAGAGGCGAUGAAGGACGUGCUAAUCUGCGAAAAGCGUCGGUAAGGUGAUAUGAACCGUUAUAACCGGCGAUGUCCGAAUGGGGAAACCCAGUGUGAUUCGUCACACUAUCGUUAACUGAAUAAAUAGGUUAACGAGGCGAACCGGGGGAACUGAAACAUCUAAGUACCCCGAGGAAAAGAAAUCAACCGAGAUUCCCCCAGUAGCGGCGAGCGAACGGGGAGCAGCCCAGAGUCUGAAUCAGCUUGUGUGUUAGUGGAACGGUCUGGAAAGUCCGACGGUACAGGGUGAUAGUCCCGUACACCAAAAUGCACAGGUUGUGAACUCGAAGAGUAGGGCGGGACACGUGGUAUCCUGUCUGAAUAUGGGGGGACCAUCCUCCAAGGCUAAAUACUCCUGACUGACCGAUAGUGAACCAGUACCGUGAGGGAAAGGCGAAAAGAACCCCGGCGAGGGGAGUGAAA